GGACGAGGAAGACGAGGAGAACGAGGAUUUCUGCACGACAUAACCCGAGGUGGUUAGCGGUGGUCAUUGGAGGUGGUCGGAGGUGGUUAGAGGUGGUUGCGGCUGAUCGAGCAGGACGAGGAGGAGGACAAGGAGAAGGACAAGGAUUUGUGCAUGGUAUAACCCGA